ensembl:lncRNA
GCCAGCUUCGAAGAAGUCUAAAGUGUUUUAGAACGAGAAAGGUACAUUAUGAAUUAGAAUGUUCAUAUUUCGAAGACUUUGAAAGUGGAAGUUGCGAUGCAGUUGCUUUCUAAGGGUCCCGGGAGGCAAUAGUCACACAUUGUUACUUCAGCCUUCACCAAGGCAAAACAGUACAGAGCCCUGUACUGUAACAGACAACAUGGAACAGUCACAAUUUCAGUUCCUGUUACGUUGACAAGACUCUUUCAGUUCUCUGUCCUGGAGGUGGCCCGCUUUGCUCCGCUUGAUCACAUGCUGACCAUCCUGAAGGCCCAGGGAACCGGCACCUGCGUUACAAAAUCAUCUUGAUGCCCUUCAGACAGCCCAAAAGGACGAAGAUGCAAGGCAUGCAUAUGUCAUUUGGUCAAAGAACGAUGAGAAAUCAAACUGUACUCUCUGCAAGUGCCAACGAAUUGUUCUGCUACUGGCGGUCCUUGUCAGAUGCUGGGACUCCUGCUUUUGUUACUGAAUGUGGAAAAUAAAACUGUUAAGACUAAUUGAAGAUAAUGGGAUAAAAAUCUAUAGCUGAAAUCAACCUCCUCUACAUCAAUUAGAUGAAAGUAAUUCACUGAAAGUUAUUUGCUGGACAUGCAAUAGUCAUGCAGUGCCUGCUUGUGUAGCUUAAAAACACGCUACAAACAUUUUUAAACAUGAAGGUACAAAGUGAUUAAUAUAGAUAGAGACACUCUUCUAGGGCUGUGUGUGUGCGUGUGUCUCAACACACAACUUUGGCCUACGUGUGCACCUUAUUGUAAGACCUUGCAACGUCAAGAUAUUUCACAGGGUGAAAUCCCGCUUCCUGUGUGGCAGCUCCACACGGGACCAGAAAUCAUGCAGUCAGACUGACUGACUUUGGCUGACUGAGUUUUAAAGAGGAUCAAAAACCUUUUAGUAUAAAAAGAAAAAAAGGCUCUACCAUAUUGCAGUGGUCCUUUUAAGACCUCCCACAUGGCUGCUCUGAGUGACAGGUCUGACAUCCCUCAAAAUUCCCACAGCAUUCCAGCUAAUUACUUAGAAACAGAUAAACCCACCAAAAGCCAACCAGAUCGUGAAUGUCUGAGAAUAAGCAGAUGCGGCCCUUUUCACAAGAAGGGCAAGGUCCGCAGCUCCACGGCAUCAUGGCAUUAUUUAUUCAUCAUGAGAACAGCGAGGGAACACGGACCCUGCAGAAAAAUCAAAUCAGUGUUCGUUGGUCGAGCAGCUGCAUUUGGCAGAGAAGAAGCAUUUGGAUCUAACUUUGGUAACAACAAUUAUAGGCGUUAUUAGAUUGGAGAUGCAAAUGAGUACCCAGAUUUUCGUCUAAGUUUUCUGUCUUUCACUUAUAGUGCUUAAAUUAAAACCAGCUCAAGAUUUGUAAAAGCUGAGUCCUGAAGGCUUAGAAAAGUUCUGUGCUUGUCGGUAUAUCAGUAGUUUCACUAAAAAUAUUUAUGUAUCAGUUAACCUCAAAGGAUCAAAUCUGCAUUUCUUCAUGUCUAUAGGUUAAAUAGAUGUAGUGCCAAAGUCGUCCUGUCCUUGGUGCCUAACAAUGAAGACUUGCUCACAAGCGGAGACUGUAAAACAUACAAGCUUUUAUGUGUUAAUAAAGUAAAUGUCUGUAUUGUUAGGAAUAUCUAUAGAUAAUUAAAAGGCUCUGUAAUUUACGUAUGUAUUAUCUGAUUUGUGAAAUAGAUCAAGAUUACAUCACAUUCUGAGAAAUUUUCACGAAUUACCUAGUUUUUAAACCCAGUUUCCUCCAUUUAUAAACGCUGGGACCUUGGGCAGACUUUACCCCAGUCUCCUCAUUAUGAAAUGGGGACAAGACUAGUAUCUACCUUUUAAGUUGUCAAGAGGACUAAAUGAAUUUAUAUAUAUAAAGUGCUUACAAUAAUGCCAGACACUUAGUAAUUGCUGGUGUGUGUGUGUAAAUCUAAUAUAGUUCCAUCAAAAGAUAAAUUUGGCAUAUAAUCAUGACCUCUCUUUUUCUCUUUCAUUUUCUAGCUGUCUGUCUUUCUCUCUGUAGUUCAGUUCAGUAAAAUUAGUUUUAAGAAAUGUUCAUAUUGUAGUUCACUAUGUUGAUCAACUUGUGUUUAUGCAACAUGCUACUGUGCAGUUUGAUGUACAUAUUGUGGCUUUAAACUAUAAAACAGUGUCUGUCCUGAUCUGGUGAGUCCAAAAAUCAAAGCUAGAGAACUUUUUCUCAGUAUUUUAUCCACGCGUUCUCACCAUUUGAAGCCCACUACAAUGUAUGAAAAAAUAAAAAAUAAAUUGUUGAAUGAUAGUGAAAUUAUAGCAAAAUAAGACUACCCAACUGGACAACGAGAGAGCACCCCAGGCUCUCUGUCUUCCCAUGGACAUCCAUCGACAUGCUGACUUCCAAGUUCCAGGAAUAAACCCUCAGUAAAUUCCUUGCACUGAUUGGUUCCUUUACUUCAGGCUGUGAUCUGGUGCAUAAAUCUCUCCUGUAGAUUUAAGUGUUUUCAAGACUUCGCUUUUCCCAUGGUUUAUUUCUUAUUCAUGACAACUAAUCACUCUAUUUUUUUUUCUAUUUGCUGCCUUUUUGGUCUCAUCUCUGAAUUUGCCAUAACUAUAUUUUACUUUCACUUUGAGAUUAAGCUUGAAGCUAUCAGCGUGUAAAAUUUCCAUUAAUUAUCCAAAAUAUUGGGUAUACUAGAGCUGACUAUAAGACGUGUUUAAAUCACGGAAUGCAUAGCAUUUACUUAUGUACAAAUGGAAGUGUUUUAGAAUUGUACACAAUUAAGAUAUGAGAGCAUCUUCAGUCCCUUUGUGGACAAGUGAAAAAGGCUACAUCUUAAAUGUGUGCUCCAGUGUUGGUGAACGUUUGUGAUGUUCCGGUUACAAACAAGUCUUAAAAUUGCUGUCUGUCGUAUGAAUACUGUAUGAUUCUUGAAUUUCUCAGUGAUUUCCCUUAGUGAUAGGACAUACUUUUCUGUUUUCAUAUGUACCCCAUGAAAUUUGACUUCAUUUUAUUUCUUAGCUUUAAUUGAAUUUUAGAAAUUAAUUUAUAAUGAAAGCUAUUUCAUGCUUAUCAAACCCCCUUAUGUUUUUAUAUGUUCCAGAGAAAACCUGAGUCAUUAUUUUAAAAAUCCACACGUGAUCCAGAAUCAAGGCCUAUUACCUCAGUAAAUGCACUUUAUUUAAGAGACGUAUGUCAGAAGAUGGUUCAGACUUUUAAAAAACUAGCUAUAGAGGAUGAAAUGAUUUUUUAAUUGUCCAGUGAUUUGAAAAAAGUUCAGCAAUGCGCAUUCCACAUCUGCUUCAACUGCAGACAUAUAAAACCGGUGUGACAAAAAAGGAUCAUUAAACAAUCUGAUUUUCUUGUUGGGAGGGUUUAAUGCUGUUGGGUAUAGUAUUAAAAUGUAGAAUUUGAUAGCAUGUCUUAAAGUUUUAAUGAUGUGUCCAUGAAUAUAAAACAUGCUUCUCCCAGUAACUUUAUGACUUCUCCUCUGCAUAAUUAGUGGUAUCUGUUUUAUGAGCUUACUGUUGUUUCCUUGAUCCCAUGAAAAUGUGAAACCACUGUAAUGAUUUACACCAUUCCAGAGCUUUAAAGAUACGAGCUGUUUCUUAAACUAAAUAACAAAAAAAAUCUAAAAGUAUAAUACUAGAAUUAAAGUCAUAGUGGGAUCUUUGAAUGUUAAAAAACAAACACACACAGGAUUUGGAAAUAAAUACAUUUUUGAGGUUUUCUUUAAUAACAUUUGCUUUUUUUCUGAACGCUGAUACAGAAUAUAUCCAUCUUUUAUUGUAUACGUAAAGUUCUCCUCUUAUUAGACACAUAUUUUUCUUCCUCACUUAUGGGUGAAAUAUUCGGGGAAGAUCUCAUUUAAAAAUGUUUUAAAAAUAAUUAUUUAGAUCAUUUGCAAUCUUGAGAGUUAUUAAUUGAAGUAAUGAAG